AGUGAACGCUGGCGGUAGGCCUAACACAUGCAAGUCGAACGGCAGCACAGUAAGAGCUUGCUCUUACGGGUGGCGAGUGGCGGACGGGUGAGGAAUACAUCGGAAUCUACUUUUUCGUGGGGGAUAACGUAGGGAAACUUACGCUAAUACCGCAUACGACCUACGGGUGAAAGCAGGGGAUCUUCUGACCUUGCGCGAUUGAAUGAGCCGAUGUCGGAUUAGCUAGUUGGCGGGGUAAAGGCCCACCAAGGCGACGAUCCGUAGCUGGUCUGAGAGGAUGAUCAGCCACACUGGAACUGAGACACGGUCCAGACUCCUACGGGAGGCAGCAGUGGGGAAUAUUGGACAAUGGGCGCAAGCAUGAUCCAGCAAUACCGCGUGGGUGAAGAAGGCCUUCGGGUUGUAAAGCCCUUUUGUUGGGAAAGAAAAGCAGCAGGUUAAUACCCCGCUGUUCUGACGGUACCCAAAGAAUAAGCACCGGCUAACUUCGUG
rnacentral:rRNA from 1 species